rnacentral:rRNA from 1 species
GACGAACCGUGCGAACGUUAUUCGGAAUCACUGGGCUUAAAGCGCGUGUAGGCGGGAGGGCACGUCCGUCGCUGAAAUCCCCCGGCUCAACCGGGGAACGGGCACGGAUACGACCUUCCUGGAGGGGCGUAGGGGGACCUGGAACUUCCGGUGGAGCGGUGAAAUGCGUUGAGAUCGGAAGGAACGCCCGUGGCGAAAGCGAGGUCCUGGACGCCUACUGACGCUGAGACGCGAAAGCGUGGGGAGCAAACAGG